GUAAACUUAGAUCUACACAUCACUGCCACUCCAUCACCAGGAUUAAUUUAGCUGAUCUGGCUGGUUAGGUGGGUGUCCCCUUCCCUCACCACUCAUGUAUGUCUCUCCAGUUCCUCUUGGCACUGUGUGCUCUGUUGAAGAGAACAACCCUCCCCAAAUGGAGGAGGACCAAUCUUUGGUCAAGAGUAUAUGAGUAGCUGUCUCCCCUGCUAGACUGACUGCACAUGCUUUUGUGAUGUACAAA
rnacentral:sRNA from 1 species